CCUUUUGCUGAAUGACAGAUGCAAGCUGACAAGGAGCUCCCUCAAGCACCCUUCUCCACUGCUACUAAAUCUACUUUGAACUCUUUCUUCAAGUUGGAUACAUCCUCCAUGUAUUGCUGAAUGGAGCUAAUGUUGCUUAUUUGCACUCUGAGGAUCACACUGUUACAAGCUUUUUCAAAACUGCAUAUUCGAAAUGCUGAAGAUAAAAGAAGUGUGAAGCCUCCAAGCAACAUGAAGUUUAGGAAAGAGGAAGUUUUAACAAGAAUUGUAGAUUACUUCCCUAUAGCUAGAGACCUUAAGAAUACAGAAAGAGGCCAUAACAACAGAAGAUACAUGGCUGUGCUCCAAGCAAAAUGUUUCCUGCCAGUAGAUACAGCUGAAAACAUUCAAAAUUAAGUGAAAUAUUUAGCUAAUGUUUGUAUCAUCUCACAGGGUGUCUUACGUAUCAUAGUUCAAUGUUAACUGCAUUGCAGAAUAAAUUAAGGCACAAUUCUUCAAUGUUCAUUCAUGUGGAAAGUGGAACUUUAUACCAUAAAGCAUAUAAGAUCAACAGAACUUCAUGCAAUUUAGAUGUUAUUGAACAUAAGUUGGAAAAUUGGAUCUUAAGUGGUUCUGGCUCAUACUCAGUGUUAUUUAAUAUAUGACAUUGAUUAAGCUCUCCAUAUUUAACAAAGACUUUCUUUAAAAUAAAACCCAGGUUUUUCAAAUCUAUGACAUCUAUGGGAAAGUGUAUUUUCAAACUGUUUUCAGUUGCAAAACUUCUUCUCCAAUUAGGUAUAUCCACCUCAACAGAUUUCAGUCUGGAUGCUUUUAUGCUUUUUUUCCUAAACAGUUUUAGAACCUCAUUGAGGUAGCACAGUAUGGGUAAUUCACACUGCUUCAUUUUGGCUAGGCCAUUUUUCUCAUGAUAUAUCAGAGCAAGUUUAUCCACAGAGGAAUACUCCCAGCUAAAGUACAUUUCCCUGGCAGCUGAGAAACCCAAUUUUUAAAGUGUGAGACAGCUGUGUUGCUUUUCCUGUAAGUCACAAUACUGGCUUAGGUAGAUGUACAAUAAGACAGAAUCCAUUCAAAGUGAAAAAUAUCUUCACUGCUGAAUCAACCUUUCCUGGAAAUGUUUAUUCUCUGGAAAGGUUUUCAGCUUAGGAUUUCCUUGGGAAAGAAAACAAACAUCAAAAUAUCAGAUGUCUCACUAAGCUAAAAGCUUAUUUUCAUCUUUUUCAGAUAUGGUAUCUUUGGUUUAAAACAAAAUGAAUAAUAUUAAGUUUGUUGUAUUUAAUAACUGAGAAGUUUUCUUAACUGCAAUAGUUGUUGUUUCUCCAGUAUGUAACAGGGUGUGUGAAGCUCUUUUUAUUCAUUGUGUAUAUGUGCUGGAACCUUGCUUUAAUUAUGAUAUUUGCCUGCAGCAGUAACUAUUGCACCUAUUGAAAACAAUUACUCAUUCCUUCAGUUUCAUAUACCAACUUCCAUCACCACUGUAACUAUGUAAGCCAGGAUGGCUAGAAUGGAAGAAAACAGUAAAACAGUUAAAUUUGA